ensembl:lncRNA
GAAACAGCAGUGAGAAAGAAGAAAGAGGAGAAGUAAAAGGGAAAGAAAGAGAGAGGCACAAAAGAAUAGGGGAAGGGAAGGGAGAAGGGGAGGAGCUGGAAAGUGGAGGAAGAGAUCAACCUUUGAUGCAAACCUUGACCUAGAGGCGCCCAGUCUCCAGGAUCUAGAGCCUAAUUAGAUCUGAGCCCAAAGAAGGUAACGCAUUGAUGGCCUGAUUGUGUUUCUACCACGACUUGCAACCCAAGAUGCAGCCCAGCCUCUGAAAAGCCCAUUGUUCCGUGCAGCGAUGUUAUAACUCUCUGUAAACGGGGCAGUCCAGGGCACUCAGCGCUGCCCGCUCCACCCCAUUGGUGACCUGCAGGGACAGCUGAAUGCCUUCUGGUCCGCUGAGCCCAGAGGAGUGGGGCUGGGCUUUCAGAAACAGCAGGGCUGAUUCAUCGAGAACAAAAGCCAGCUCUUCCUGCUAAAUCCCUGGCCAUCAAGGGCGGCGAGGCCAGCAGGCCCCUGAGCCCCUCCGCAGAAACUCCUUCUUCAUCCGGCUACCGCUGUGGGGCUCCACAGCAGGAGAGCCAGCUUCCCACUGCCCCGUCCCUUCAGCCUGGCCUGCUCUCAGAACCCCCCGGGAAGCAGUGGCUUGGGAGUGAAAUCUGGAUUCUCGUCCUGGUCCUGCCAUUUCCCAGCGGUGCAAUGAAAAUAAGAAACUUCACUUCUCUGAGCCUCAGUUUCUCCAUCUGUGA